ensembl:lncRNA
AUAUAUAUAUAUAUUAUGGGGGUAAAAUGUUGAAGUUUGUACUUCUCAAAACAAAUCACAAGCAUCUUGGCUACGCAGUAAAGUGAGUGAGUCCAAUUAUGAUUUGGGGUAAUAUGACCAAAUAUACUAAAACAUAACAAACACUGAAGCCCUCUGGGACAAAUGUUUCAUUUGAGAUUUUAGGCUGUACAAAAAAAUGAUUUCAAUCGAACACCUUUGUUUUUCUGAGGGUUAUGAUUCAUUAUUCCUCCUUUUUCAAGUGUUUUCCCACAACAGCCAGCAACCUGAUUCAUUUAACAUUUGUUUCCUGUAAAGAGGAAAGUUUAUUUUGAAAGGCCUGUUUGCGUGUAACAGUGUGAGGUACAAACGUUGGAUAAAGAAAGCCUGUCUCAAGUCUCAUGUCUUACUCAUCCAUCCACCACAAAUACUUUUAUUAAAGGUAUAUGUGAGGCAUCAAACGCAAUCUUGAUGCAGCUGAAAAAACACUCACUGGAAAGCUAUUUGACAAUGUAGUUCUGUGGUAUGAGAAUGUGUUUUUUAGGAGACCAGAGUCUGACGGAUGGAAUUCACUUGUCACGUUAGCCGUUUAAAACACUUCAUGCCUGAAAUCGACAGAACAUUUCAUUACAGUGAGCAUAGUUCUUGCAAUAAACAAUGCCAGAUAAUGCUCUAAGCUCUUAUUCCACCCUCAGACUGCACCCUCUCCAAUUAGAGCCCUCUCAGCAUGUUGUUAUUGGCACGUAACUGCUGCAGAUUUCUAUCCCAGCUUGGCUAAUUGAAUAAGCAUGAGGGCAUCGUAGCGAUCAAUUCACUGGGUUAUGUUAUGGUUAAUGUAGUACUGAUUUAAUAUCCAUUAUUGGAAAAACCUGGGAGAUUUGGAGAUAAUACAACUUGAAGUCAACAGCAAAAAAAGGGGGGGUGGGGGGGGGGGGGGGUUGUUCUAUGAAGACACAAAGAAAUCAACAGAUGUGCAGCGUCUGCAAACCACAGACUUCUUAGAAAAUGUGAUCCCUCCAAUCAAAUGCCUUAAUGCAGAACAGCAGCAGACUGGGACACAAUAAACAUGUAUGUAUGAUCCACAUACCCAGAGGAACAAAAAGCUGCUCGUUGUGUUUGUGAAACAGGGAGAAAAACGGCAUUCUGGCUUCUGCGUAGAAGGAAACAUAUUCAACGUAUCCUCAAACGGUUUCAUUACAUGUGUCAUUUUUAAAAGUCAAGCCACAGCUACUGAAAAGCCAGGUCAAGAAAAACCUCCUCCUUUGUCUUAGAAUCAAACAAAUCGAUAUAUCCUAUGAGUCAAAGACACGAACGGAAUAAGUCAACAUUGACUUCUGCUUUCACACCGGAUAUAAAAGUCUGUUUCAUCCAUUGUGACUGAUUAGAAAAAGAUGCUCUUUAGUUGUACGGGAAUGUGUCUGUUAGGAGAAACAAAGUACUGGUGCCUUGAACUUAAGUACAUGAGUUUUACGCAGUUAUAUACAUAAUCAGUACUUACGUAUAACAUUUCUCAAGCAAAUAUCUAAGUAUUUUAGAUCAUCCAAAAGCAGAUCUAGUACUUUACAUGAGCUUUGCCUUUACCUACUAACUAACUCCAAUAUUGACCUUUGACCUAUCCAAGUGUUUUAUGACAUGCUGAAUACCAAUGUUUGGAGGCCUGGUUUCUCAGUAUUAAGGAGUGAAGGACUGGAUGUAACAGCGGUAGUUUAUUCUGUAUAUUUACACCUGCAGCAGAAUACACAUCCACUCAGUCAGAGGGAUCAGUCGGGAAUUUGGCCGGCUAAUUGGGUCUUAACUUUCCAGAUAAAGAGAGAGAGAGAGAAAGGAGAAUAGUCCUGGCAGACUUUAGCUCGAGUAAGAAGGGAACAGGGGGUUAAACCAGUUGGUUCUGAACUCUAUUUGCCUUAAUUUCCUCUGCAGAGAAAAGGAAGAAAGAUUAAUGAAAUAUCCUCAAAUCCAUCCUGUUUCAUUUCUAUUAAAUCAGCAGUGAAAUGCAGAGGUCCUACCCGGGUGCAGGAGGGGGGGCCGUGGGAUAAAGUUUCCCAGUGUUUCUUUAGAGACCCAGGCUACUUUUCUGCUCGUGACCGAUGAUUUUUUGAAAAAUUCAAUUGUUGCUGGAGUCUCUAUAUCAAGUUGCGCCUGGACUCCCCUUUAGACUCAAUUAUUUCAUUAUGCUGGGCCUCAUACAAUAUUUGGGAUAAAUAAGAGGCAUUUUUCUCUUUUACUGUCUGACCGGCAGUGAAGAAAAACAAGCCUUUUUUCUUAAUUCUCCUGGUGAUGGCAGCUGUUUCAACCAACUAGGACAACCUUUAAACCCGGCCAGUAAGUGCUGCUUCCACUAAGUAGGUGUAGUGUCAAUACAAAUGCAAACGGCAGACUCCUCGGUGGAGUCCAUUGAAAAACAGUGAGACGAGCCGGUUGGAGCCCGCCGAGCGGCCUAAUCCCAUCUCAAUCAGAAUGGACUCAUUAGGAGCUCUGUAAUUAAUCCGACAAUAGAGGAGGCCGGGGAACAAAUGUCUCCGCUGUAGCUGUUACACUGGCAGCUGUGUGUGUGUGUGUGUGUGUGUGUGUGUUUGUUGGGGUGUGUUGGGGGAUCUGGCCCAAUGAGAAAGUAAGGAAGGUUUAAAUGAUUAUUUCUUAUUAAUACUGGAUCAAAUGUAUGCGUAACCCCCCAGGGAGCGGAAACGUGCGCUUCACUUCUUCUUCAGUGUCUUUUAGCUCAUUGUUCAUGUUUUUGGUCAAAUAUACUGAUUUCGUUUAAUUGAUGACGUGUCCCUCUUUUAUUUCUUCAGUGAAAUGUUACACAACAGUUGAGAAAAUACGUUCUCUUCUUCAGAAAAAACAAUUGAUUUAAAAUCAGAGCUGGGCAAUGAUUUCAAUUUUUAAUUGCAUGAUUUUUUCACAAAAAAACAUAAUUCAUUAAAAGUACUGUAUUCAGCACCUUUAUUCAUUCAAAUACUUCAAAUGAUGUGUUUUUUAAAGCAACAUUCCCAUUACACACUAGCAAUUAUAAUAUUUCUUGUAAAUCUCAAAGUAAAAAUGUAUUUGAUCAAAUAAAAAAAAAAACCUGAGCUAGAGUCCAACACGGCUGAGCACACACACACACACACACACACACACACACACACUCACUCCCAGCAGCAGACGGAGCGCUUGUUAGAGAACGCGUCGGUGUCUUAGCCAGCUGUUAAAUGACUACAUCCUGUUUCUGACCCGUUUUGCUGAUGAUUGUUAUUAUGAAUUCAGAAGGUCGGAGGCCGAUCACUGAGGAGAAACCUCUGGCCCACCAGGCCUUGUUAGAACUGGAGGCCUUUUUAAGUAGCACACAAUAAAUAAUACUCAUUGUAAGAACAGAUUUACUUUGGCCUGAGGGACGACCGCACAACACACACACAACAAAACAGACGGAUACAAAAGAAGCAACAAUUCCUGUUAGAUAGAAAACAAAAGUUCUGUUUCCGCCGGGUUUAAACUGCUCUGCCGGGGAGGUCUGGGGGUGCAACCGAGCAAGGUAGGCGAACCUCUUCAGCCACUCUCAACCAGCGUGUGUGUGUGUGUGUGUGUGUGUGUGUGUGUGUCGUCAGCAGCAAAUUGGCCAUCAGACGAGCGGAUGGACGUCACCAGCAGGAUCGGUGGCUUUUAAAACCCAUAAACCGCUAAAACGCUGCUCUCUGCACACUGACAGUUAGCGUGUUCCAGUUUAACACACACAGACACACACACAGGUACACACACAGGUAUACACAGACACACAGGUACACACACAGGUAUACACAGACACACAGGUACACACACACAGGUAUACACAGACACACACAGGUACACACACACACACAGGUACACACAGGUACACACCGGUAUACACAGACACACACAGGUACACACACACAGGUACACACAGGUAUACACAGACACACACAGGUACACACAGGCACACACAGACAGACACAGACACACACGCUUGUGAAGGCCCUCUCUCAUAUCUCCAUCUGGAUGAUUUUCCUCUGAUCCCUGUCAUGACAUUUGGUUCUCAUACGUGUAGGAAAUCCAGAGCAGGCGCGCACGUCAACGCAGCACCACCAUCAGCUCCUCCACCCUCAACUCUGCACUCUGUCAUCUGGAACAAUAAUAAACAAUGGCAGAGGAAAUCUAAAAACCUGCUGAAAUCUAUUACAAGGGAACAGUGUGGUUAUAAGGCAGCGGGGGCCGGGGGGCCGGGGGGGGGGGCGGGCACUUCUACAUCAGUGUAAUUCCCUGUGCCAGCUGAUCCGGGCCAGGCUCGCCACAAACACUUAUCUGAUCCUUACGGGUGGUCCGACCAGCGCCGCCAUGUUACUCAACCUCACAGAUCGGGGUCUUCUCUUCCCACGUGGAUUCAGCACCGUAAAUACAUCUAUCCAGAUAUCCACCCGUAAAUACCUUUAUCCAGAUAUACGCACGUAAAUACAUCUAUCCAGAUAUACGCACGUAAAUACAUCUAUCCAGAUAUACGCACGUAAAUACAUCUAUCCAGAUAUACACACGUAAACACAUCUAUCCAGAUAUACGCACGUAAAUACAUCUAUCCAGAUAUACGCACGUAAAUACAUCUAUCCAGAUAUACACACGUAAAUACAUCUAUCCUGAUAUACAC